UGGGGAAUAUUGGACAAUGGGCGAAAGCCUGAUCCAGCGACGCCGCGUGGGUGAAGAAGGCCUGCGGGUUGUAAAGCCCUUUCAGUGGGGAAGAAAAGCCUCGUUCUAACACAACGGGGUCUUGACGUAACCCAUAAAAGAAGCACCGGCUAACUCUGUGCCAGCAGCCGCGGUAAUACAGAGGGUGCGAGCGUUAAUCGGAAUUACUGGGCGUAAAGCGCGCGUAGGCGGCUUCGCAAGUCGGAUGUGAAAUCCCCAGGCUUAACCUGGGAACUGCAUUCGAGACUACAUUGCUAGAGUAUGGGAGAGGGAAGUGGAAUUUCCGGUGUAGCGGUGAAAUGCGUAGAUAUCGGAAGGAACAUCAGUGGCGAAAGCGACUUCCUGGACCAAUACUGACGCUCAUGUGCGAAAGCGUGGGGAGCAAACAGGAUUAGAUACCCCCGUAGUCCCUGAGCGGGCUGGCAAGGCGCAU
rnacentral:rRNA from 1 species